rnacentral:tRNA from 1 species
UUUAAUAUGGCAGAAUUUAGUGCAUUAGAUUUAAAUUCUAAUAAUAAAGAUCUUAUUUAUUUCUUUUAUUAAAA